GACGAACGCUGGCGGCGUGCCUAAUACAUGCAAGUAGAACGCUGAAGGAGGAGCUUGCUCCUCUGGAUGAGUUGCGAACGGGUGAGUAACGCGUAGGUAACCUGCCUGGUAGCGGGGGAUAACUAUUGGAAACGAUAGCUAAUACCGCAUAACAGCAGAUGUCGCAUGAUAUUUGCUUAAAAGGUGCAAUUGCUUCACUACCAGAUGGACCUGCGUUGUAUUAGCUAGUUGGUGAGGUAACGGCUCACCAAGGCAACGAUACAUAGCCGACCUGAGAGGGUGAUCGGCCACACUGGGACUGAGACACGGCCCAGACUCCUACGGGAGGCAGCAGUAGGGAAUCUUCGGCAAUGGACGGAAGUCUGACCGAGCAACGCCGCGGGAGUGAAGAAGGGUGUCGGAUCGUAAAGCUCUGUUGUAAGAGAAGAACGAGUGUGAGAGUGGAAAGUUCACACUGUGACGGUAUCUUACCAGAAAGGGACGGCUAACUACGUG
rnacentral:rRNA from 1 species